UUUUGUUGGAGAGUUUGAUCCUGGCUCAGGACGAACGCUGGCGGCGUGCUUAACACAUGCAAGUCGAGCGGAAAGGCCCUUCGGGGUACUCGAGCGGCGAACGGGUGAGUAACACGUGAGCAACCUGCCCUAG
rnacentral:rRNA from 1 species